GGACCCGCACAAGUAGUGGAGCAUGUGGUUUAAUUCGAAGAUACGCGCAGAACCUUACCAACACUUGACAUGUUCGUCGCGACUUUAAGAGAUUAAAGUUUUCGGUUCGGCCGGACGAAACACAGGUGCUGCAUGGCUGUCGUCAGCUCGUGUCGUGAGAUGUUGGGUUAAGUCCCGCAACGAGCGCAACCCUCACUUUUAGUUGCCAUCAGUUCGGCUGGGCACUCUAUGGAAACUGCCUGUGAUAAGCAGGAGGAAGGUGUGGAUGACGUCAAGUCCUCAUGGCCCUUACGGGUUGGGCUACACACGUGCUACAAUGGUAGUGACAAUGGGUUAAUCCCAAAAAGCUAUCUCAGUUCGGAUUGGGGUCUGCAACUCGACCCCAUGAAGUCGGAAUCGCUAG
rnacentral:rRNA from 1 species